UGGGCAGAAGCCUAAUAGGCUUGAGGCAUUUAGCUGUUAACUAGAAGUUUAUGGGAUCGAAGCCCAUCUGCUCAG
rnacentral:tRNA from 1 species